rnacentral:rRNA from 1 species
ACUCCUACGGGAGGCAGCAGUGGGGGAAUAUUGCACAAUGGGAAGCCAUCGAUGCAGCCAUGCCGCGCUGUGUGAAGAAGGCCAAUUCGGGCUUUGGUUAAAGACACUUUUCAGUAGGGAGGAAGGUAGUGUAGUUAACACCUGCAUUAUUUGACGUUACCUACAGAAGAAGCACCGGCUAACUCCGUGCCAGCAGCCGCGGUAAUACGGAGGGUGCGAGCGUUAAUCGGAAUUACUGGGCGUAAAGCGUGCGCAGGCGGUUUGUUAAGCGAGAUGUGAAAG